rnacentral:lncRNA from 1 species
GAGGGGUUGUCAGAUAAUUCUUUUUCGAGAAAAAAAUUUCAUGGUCUAUCAGAAGAUAGUCUUUCUUGAAAUUCUUCAUACUGAAUUAUUUCAGCAUGGUAUCUAUUGGGUAUAAAAUACCCACAGCCGAAGUUCGUAAAAGGCCGACCCUUCUAGGACUCUUCCGGCUUCUGACCUUGUAUGGCAUCUUUCUGAACUCCCUAGACCGUCUGAGCUUCCAUAAUACCAUCCAGACUUCUUCGAUAAUGGGCUCCUCUAUUCAUCUAUCGGGCUGCACCAAAUGCUUUUUGAGC